rnacentral:tmRNA from 1 species
UCGACAAAGACGGCACUUUAAAAGACGGCAAGCCGACUUCGAUCCAUUGAGUCGCUAAACAGGAUUAAAAAAAACGUGCCAAACAAUUGAGCACUGCUCUUCGAACAGCCCUUAAUAAGGCUUACGAANNNNNNNCUGGUGGUAUGGCUCUCGGGCCGUUAACCGGCGGCAGUCCAGCUUACGCUUUGGCGUAAACUGCAGCCAUCGACUAGUCCCCUAUUCUGGAGGAGAUUGGUGGGUGUAAACAAACCAGAAUGCUGCCUUGUUAAUCUCGAUUUUGAUAAGGAAUAAGCAGGGGGUAAUGCCCCUAAUAAUCGACAUCCUAAGAUGUUUUUUUGGUGGUGGUUUUAGGAGGUAAGUUAAAACCGAAUAAGCUUGUAGAAGUCUUUUUUAGUCCACUUUGGACCCAGGU